rnacentral:rRNA from 1 species
CACGCCCUAAACGAUGUCGACUAGUCGUUCGGAGCAGCAAUGCACUGAGUGACGCAGCUAACGCGUGAAGUCGACCGCCUGGGGAGUACGGCCGCAAGGUUAAAACUCAAAGGAAUUGACGGGGACCCGCACAAGCGGUGGAUGAUGUGGUUUAAUUCGAUGCAACGCGAAAAACCUUACCCACCUUUGACAUGGUCGGAACCCUUUAGAGAUAGAGGGGUGCUCGAAAGAGAGCCGAUACACAGGUGC